rnacentral:rRNA from 1 species
GAUGAACGCUGGCGGCGUGCCUAAUACAUGCAAGUCGAGCGAACGGACGAGAAGCUUGCUUCUCUGAUGUUAGCGGCGGACGGGUGAGUAACACGUGGAUAACCUACCUAUAAGACUGGGAUAACUUCUGGAAACCGGAGCUAAUACCGGAUAAUAUUUUGAACCGCAUGGUUCAAAAGUAAAAGACGGUCUUGCUGUCACUUAUAGAUGGAUCCGCGCUGCAUUAGCUAGUUGGUAAGGUAACGGCUUACCAAGGCAACGAUGCAUAGCCGACCUGAGAGGGUGAUCGGCCACACUGGAACUGAGACACGGUCCAGACUCCUACGGGAGGCAGCAGUAGGGAAUCUUCCGCAAUGGGCGAAAGCCUGACGGAGCAACGCCGCGUGAGUGAUGAAGGUCUUCGGAUCGUAAAACUCUGUUAUUAGGGAAGAACAUAUGUGUAAGUAACUGUGCACAUCUUGACGGUACCUAAUCAGAAAGCCACGGCUAACUACGUG